AUAUCUUGCCAUAGCCUAAAGGCACACAUUCUUGUCUGAUCUUGAAAGUGAAGCAGGAUCAGUCCUGGUUAGUACUGGGAUGAGAGACCAUCAACAAAUACCAGUUACUGCAGGCUAUA
rnacentral:rRNA from 11 species